AAUUAUUUGGCCGAGGACAGGCAGAUACUUUGAAAGUACCCCACAGAGGUUUAAGCCCUCUAGUAAUUU
rnacentral:tRNA from 1 species